rnacentral:misc_RNA from 1 species
AAUUCUCAACCUUUCCAGCUUUUAUUAGUUUGGUCAGGCUUGGAUGUGGGGGUUGCAGGCUUUCAUUUACUCUGCUCUCCUUAAAUGCAUUAGCGGAACUUUUGUGGACCGUCUAUUGGUGUGAUAAUUAUCUACACCGUGGAUGUAAAGCAGUUUUUAUAAGGUUCAGCUUCUAACUGUCCAUUGACUUGGACAAUUUUGACA